rnacentral:lncRNA from 1 species
AUAUAUAUAUAUAUAUAUAUAUAUAUAUGUAUAUAUACACUUUUUUUAAUCAUAUCAAUUUUAAACACAGUUUUCAUGAAUAAGAAAGGUGGCAAUUGACAUUGACACUUCAUUACAGAGUCUUGUCCAGGUGUACACAAUCAAUGAGCGCUUGUAAUAGAAUGUAAUAUAAAGUGUAUAGGGGUGGUGCCAUCCCACAGUGUAACGAACACUACCAUCCACUACUAUCUAUUCCAGUCUGAUAAUCAAGCCCAGUAUAGCUGAUCAAUACCCUCGGUGGAAAAAAGCUGGACAGCAGAUUGGACCCCAGGGUUAGGCUGGCGGAGGUGGCAGAAGGGAUGUGUGGCGAGCCAAGGGAGAGGAGUUGGAUAAGAAAUAGUGGGAAGGGGGGAGCUGAAAUUACCUGGGACUUAUUGAGUGAUUUGCUCAGAUAGACUCGGUUGGGAAAUAAAGAGAGAUGGUUGGGGAAAUACAGGGAGAUGGUUGGGGAAACAUAGGGAGAUGGUUGGGGAAACAUAGGGAGAUGGUUGGGGAAACAUAGGGAGAUGGUUGGGGAAACAUAGGGAGAUGGUUGGGGAAACAUAGGGAGAUGGUUGGGGAAACAGGAUGGUUGGGGAAACAUAGGGAGAUGGUUGGUGAAAUACAAGGAGAUGGUUGGGGAAACACAGGGAGAUGGUUGGAGAAAAACAGGGUGAUUGUUGGAGAAACACAGGGAGAUGGUUGGGGAAACACAGGGAGAUGGUUGGAGAAACACAGAGAGAUGGUUGGGGAAACACAGGGAGAUGGUUGGAGAAACACAGGGAGAUGGUUGGAGAAACACAGGGAGAUGGUUGGAGAAACACAGCGAGAUGGUUGGGGAAACACAGGGAGAUGGUUGGAAAAACACAUGGAGAUGGUUGGAAAAACACAGCGAGAUGGUUGGGGAAAGGGGAGAAAGAGGGAGGAAGAGGAAUACACCUAAUAUUGUUAUUUUCAAAGAUGAGCUCCAAGAUGAAAGAACGCUGGCUGGAGAAGGACAAUAGCUGUCUCUUUAACUAUAGUACAGUGUUUGUUCCAGACUUGUUUUGUGAUUGGUGGAGGUUUGGAUACAUUUUAUAAUGUUCUUGCUCUUUGACAAUGUAAGAAUUAAUUCCAUCUCAUCAACACGAAUAGAGAUUAUGUGUAUCAGUUACGCUUGUAAUUAUGCAGUAUGUAACUAUUAAAAAUGAGCACUGCACAUUUAAUCCUUCUUUGUAAUUUUCAUGAAACUAUUUUCAGACCAAGGAGAUCAGACAGUACCCGUCAAAAGUUUGGACACACCUACUCAUUCCCAGAUUCUUCAAAGUAGCCACCCUUUGCCUUGAUGACAGCGUUGCACACUUUUGGCAUUCCCUCAACCAGCUUCACCUGGAAUGCUUUUCCAGCUGUCUUGAAGAAGUUCCCACACAUGCUGAGCACUUGUGGCUGCUUUUCCUUCACUCUGUGGUCCAACUCAUCUAAUCUGGUUUGAGGUCGGGUGAUUGUGGUCAUCUGAUGCAGCACUCUAUCACUCUCAGCCUGGAGGUGUGUUUGGUCAUUGUCCUGUUGAAAAAUAAAUCAUAUGUGUUAUUUCAAAGUUAUG